UACGUAGGGUGCAAGCGUUGUCCGGAUUCAUUGGGCGUAAAGAGCUCGUAGGCGGCUUGCUAAGUCAGGUGUGAAACCUCCAGGCUCAACCCUGGGAUGCCGGUGGAUACUGUCGGGCUCGAGUCCGGAAGAGGAGUGUGGAAUUCCUGGUGUAGCGGUGAAAUGCGUAGAUAUUGGGAGGAACACCAGUGGCGAAAGCGCUCUGCUGGACCUUAACUGACACUGAGGGACGAAAGCUAGGGGAGCGAAUGGG
rnacentral:rRNA from 1 species